CACUGCCUGCCCAGUGACACACGUUUAACGGCCGCGGUACCCUGACCGUGCAAAGGUAGCAUAAUCACUUGUUCUUUAAAUAGGGACUCGUAUGAAUGGCAUCACGAGGGUUUAACUGUCUCUUACUUUCAACCAGUGAAAUUGACCUGUCCGUGAAGAGACGGACAUGAAACAAUAAGACGAGAAGACCCUGUGGAGCUUCAAUUUAUUAGUACAACUAAAAACAACACAAACCAACAGGCCCUAAACCCCUACAUCUGUGCUAAAAAUUUUGGUUGGGGCGACCUCGGAGCACAACCAAACCUCCGAAUAAUCCACGCUAAGACUACACAAGUCAAAGCAAACUAACACCUACAAUUGACCCAAUAAUUUGAUCAACGGAACAAGUUACCCCAGGGAUAACAGCGCAAUUCUAUUCUAGAGUCCAUAUCAACAAUAGAGUUUACGACCUCGAUGUUGGAUCAGGAUAUCCUAAUGGUGCAGCAGCUAUCAAG
rnacentral:rRNA from 1 species